rnacentral:rRNA from 1 species
UCUGUCGAGCUUGCUCACAGGCACAUCAUAUCCAUAACACCUGUGCACUUGUCGGAUGGCUUAGUGAAGACCGCAAGGUUGGAUCUAUCCAUCUACUUUACAUAACAAUUCUGUAACAAAUGUAGUCUUAUUAUAACAUAAUAAAACUUUCAACAACGGAUCUCUUGGCUCUCGCAUCGAUGAAGAACGCAGCGAAAUGCGAUAAGUAAUGUGAAUUGCAGAAUUCAGUGAAUCAUCGAAUCUUUGAACGCACCUUGCGCUCCUUGGUAUUCCGAGGAGCAUGCCUGUUUGAGUGUCAUGAAAACCCUCAACCCUAGAUUGGUUAAAACCUUUCUUUGGUUUGGAUUUGGACGUUUGCCGAUGAUAAGUCGGCUCGUCUUAAAAGUAAUAGCUGGAUCUGUCUCGCGACAUGGUUUGACUUGGCGUAAUAAGUAUUUCGCUAAGGACAUCUUCGGAUGGCCGCGUUGCAGGACUAAAGACCGCUUUCUAAUCCAUUGAUCUUACGAUUAAUAUUCUUGACAUCUGGCCUCAAAUCAGGUAGGACUACCCGCUGAACUUAAGCAUAUCAAUAAGCGGAGGA